GACGAACGCUGGCGGCGUGCCUAAUACAUGCAAGUAGAACGCUGAAGGAGGAGCUUGCUUCUCUGGAUGAGUUGCGAACGGGUGAGUAACGCGUAGGUAACCUGCCUGGUAGCGGGGGAUAACUAUUGGAAACGAUAGCUAAUACCGCAUAAGAGUAGAUGUUGCAUGACAUUUGCUUAAAAGGUGCAAUUGCAUCACUACCAGAUGGACCUGCGUUGUAUUAGCUAGUUGGUGGGGUAACGGCUCACCAAGGCGACGAUACAUAGCCGACCUGAGAGGGGGAUCGGCCACACUGGGACUGAGACACGGCCCAGACUCCUACGGGAGGCAGCAGUAGGGAAUCUUCGGCAAUGGACGGAAAUCUGACCGAGCAACGCCGCGUGAGUGAAGAAGGGUUUCGGAUCGUAAAGCUCUGUUGUAAGAGAAGAACGAGUGUGAGAGUGGAAAGUUCACACUGUGACGGUAUCUUACCAGAAAGGGACGGCUAACUACGUG
rnacentral:rRNA from 1 species